rnacentral:rRNA from 1 species
UACGUAGGGUGCAAGCGUUGUCCGGAAUUAUUGGGCGUAAAGAGCUCGUAGGCGGCCUGUUGCGUCCGCUGUGAAAUCCCAGGGCUCAACCCUGGGCGUGCAGUGGAUACGGGCAGGCUGGAGGCAGGCAGGGGAGAACGGAAUUCCCGGUGUAGCGGUGAAAUGCGCAGAUAUCGGGAGGAACACCAACGGCGAAAGCACUCUGCUGGGCCGACACUGACACUGAGAGACGAAAGCUAGGGGAGCAAAUGGG